GGCAAUUGCAAUGAUGUUAACAUUAAUCCCAGCUCUCUGAGACCUUAUUUUUAAGGUCUGGGAUUAGACUUCGUUUCCAACACAUAUUAUGUCUGAGCAUAGCC